rnacentral:rRNA from 1 species
UACGUAGGGUGCGAGCGUUGUCCGGAAUUAUUGGGCGUAAAGUGCUCGUAGGCGGUUUGUCGCGUCGGGAGUGAAAUCCACUGGCUUAACUGGUGGCUUGCUUUCGAUACGGGCAGACUGGAGGUAUGCAGGGGAGAACGGAAUUCCUGGUGUAGCGGUGAAAUGCGCAGAUAUCAGGAGGAACACCGGUGGCGAAGGCGGGUCUCUGGGCCGAUACUGACGCUGAGGGACGAAAGCUAGGGGAGCGAAAGGG